AAAUCACGGCGCAUCCACCCUCCUCUCUUUCUCUCUAGCUCUUCUCUCCUCUCUCUCUCUCGCACUCACCCGACGUCGCCCCACCCGCGCGUCACCGAUUCCCCAUCCACGAUUUCUCUCCUCUCCCGCGCCGCCCCUCCGUCGUCGUCGCGUGAAGUCCUCGCCGAUCCCCCGCCUCCGUCGUGCCGAUCCAAGUCGCGGCAUCGUCAAACCCCUGUUCCCAGGUCGCCGUCACUGAUCCCGCAUCUCCUCUGCCCCGUUCUUGCCGAUCCCCCGCCUCCGUCGCGCCGUCACGUCGCCGAUUCCCUCUCCUCGUCGGGAGCGCCGCCGGGUUCAGUCGACGCUGAUCCCCAAUUUGUUGUCGCCGCCUCCUUCUCCCCUGAUUGAAGUGUUGUCAAGUUUCUCCGAGAUACAUUGUUUCAUGCAUGAUCAAUGACUCAAAUCUCAAUGAAGAUAGGCAUAUUGCUAUUCCAGGUUGGUUAUCUGAAUGUGCGCAGGUUUGCAAUUUGCAUAUCAUUGGAUGUAUAUGGUUGAUAACUUGAUAUGGGAGUAAUUGGGAAAUCUGUGAUAAGGUAUGAACCUUCCCUUUUGAAGCAUUUCUACAGCACCAUUGAAGUACCACAUAGUUUUUUUGGCCAUAUUUAUUUAUAACCAUGCAAGGAAUAAUAACUCUUCCUGAUUAGGGCUAAUUUUUUUUUACAAAAUCUAUGAUUAACAGAAUUGUUCUAAUUUGAAACAGAGCCCUCUGGUUUAGAGCUUGAUCAGUGAGUUAAAAAAAUGGUAGAAUAUGUGAGUACCGAACAUGUUAUAAUUUGAAGCGCACUCCUCUGAUUGAAAACUUUUGACCAGUUAGGUUUGAACUUUGAAUUAUGUCUCAUCUUUAUGCAUAUACUUUCUUUCAUUUCAGGUGAGGGUCAUUUUAUUUAGAGAUUGAUUUGAAAAAAUUGUAGUAAUAACUCUUUCUAAUUAGGGCUAAAUUUUGUAUAAAAUAUUUGAGUAGAAGAAUUGUUCUGACCUAAAACGGAGUCCUAACAUGAUAUCAGUGAGAGUUACAAAAUGGUUGUAAUAUCUGUGAGUACGAGGAUCGUUCUAAUUUGGAACUCAACUCCUCUGAUGACAACUUUAAUCAGGCAGUGUGAAUUAUGCAUUUCUUGUUCUCAUGAACAAUAUUUGUUUGAAAAGUGAAAGAUCAGAGGUAUGUUUUACCACGGUGGAUGAACAGAAAGCCCGGUGAGGAUGACAAACAUGGAGUGAAGAGGGUAUGAUGUAUGCUGUGGCCAGAAGAAGUUGCUCCUAUGAUGGAAAUUGUGAGCAAGACAGGCCCUCGAAUCCUUUUUUUUUCCCUGAUGAAUCUGUAAUUUGGAUAUGCUGCUGGAAUCGGUUGAAAUCUAUUUGUAACUCCACUUUCUCAUUUCCCAUCAUAUAUGUAUGCAAUGCUGAAAGUGAUGUGAAGAGGGGAAUAGAUAGCGUGUAGCCUGGCAGACUAUGGAUCAUUGGAUUGCAUCUAUGUUUUCGUUGGUCUUGCGGGUUUGAGACUUUAAGCUUGAGAAUGUAUUUCUAUUUUUGGAUU